GUAGGUGGCAAGCGUUGUCCGGAAUUACUGGGCGUAAAGCGUGCGUAGGCGGUUUGUUAAGUCCGCUGUGAAAGCCCUGGGCUCAACCUGGGAAUUGCAGUGGAUACUGGCAAGCUAGAGUGCGGUAGAGGAUGGUGGAAUUCCCGGUGUAGCGGUGAAAUGCGUAGAGAUCGGGAGGAACACCCGAGGCGAAGGCGGCCAUCUGGACCAGCACUGACGCUGAGGCACGAAAGCGUGGGGAGCAAACAGGAUUAGAUACCCUGGUAGUCCACGCCCUAAACGAUGCGAACUGGACGUUGGGUGGACUUAGCCACUCAGUGUCGAAGCUAACGCGUUAAGUUCGCCGCCUGGGGAGUACGGUCGCAAGACUG
rnacentral:rRNA from 1 species